ACCCUGAAGACCCGACAUUCGGAUGCUUUCUUGGUUCCUGUACCCUGGACACUGGAGGUAGACCGAGCAGAGUUCUCCAGAGAACACUGCCUGACUGUGCUACACCUUUCCCAGACUCUGUAACCUAUCCCUUCACUUUUGUUUCUGGAAGUGCUGGAGUAUAUAAAGGUCAAAGACUAACUGAGGGAGGUACUCCAUGUCUGCAACUCUCUGAGGUCAUCACCAAUGCUGAGCCUCAAUGAGAACCAGCAAAGGGACAUUGGUUUCCAAGAAAGAAUCUGAUAUGUGAUCCAUCACGGCUUUCCGAAGCUACAGUUAAGAACAAAAGCAGAAGGACAUUAAGGAACAGAAUUGGCAAUCUUUUCCUAAAGCACUGUCAAGCUUUCAUUACAAUGUAAACAAUGGUGAUGGUUAAUUUUAAUUGACAACUUGACACAACUUAGAACCUGCUGAGAAAAUUUUCUCAGUGAGAGAUUGCCUAGAUCAGAAGGAAAACAGGAAACAUCUGACAGUCAUAAAAAUAUUCCAGCCCAGGUGCUAUGGUGAUGCAGUUGCUAUGUUCCAGGAAGUAAAAAAUACUUAGAAUUACGUUUCAAGGGUCAACCCUACACACCUGCCAAAUGUGGAGGGAUUUGUAGCGGGCAGAGUCAUCUGGAUCCAUAAAUAUAUGUACUUGCCAUUCCACAUUCCAGCAUGUGCCUCUGGAUCUUAGGCAAAUCCUCUUUAAAUAGAAGAAUAUCUUUGAAAAGCUCAGCCAAAGCCUUACCAGUUCCCUCUCCAAGCAUCUGAUGACUGGCACGUCAGUUCAACUGAGUGAGAUGGUAAUCUGGACUAAAAUGCUACUUGAGUGAGGGGAGAGGGGAAACAGGCACCCACUUGGUGUGAAAGACCCUAACCCUUCAGGCUUACAGCCCCCAAGCCCCAGGAGAAUAAGGAACUAAAAAGAAAACUAGUUCCAAGGGCAACCUGACUCAGCCAUUAUUCAACCACCCCUGCCACAAUGUAACAAUGUAAAGAGAUCUCUGUUAAGAGAUGUGCUCAACUGUGACUGG